rnacentral:rRNA from 1 species
AAAUUGAAGAGUUUGAUCAUGGCUCAGAUUGAACGCUGGCGGCAGGCCUAACACAUGCAAGUCGAACGGUAACAGGAAGCAGCUUGCUGCUUUGCUGACGAGUGGCGGACGGGUGAGUAAUGUCUGGGAAACUGCCUGAUGGAGGGGGAUAACUACUGGAAACGGUGGCUAAUACCGCAUAACGUCGCAAGACCAAAGAGGGGGACCUUCGGGCCUCUUGCCAUCAGAUGUGCCCAGAUGGGAUUAGCUUGUUGGUGAGGUAACGGCUCACCAAGGCGACGAUCCCUAGCUGGUCUGAGAGGAUGACCAGCCACACUGGAACUGAGACACGGUCCAGACUCCUACGGGAGGCAGCAGUGGGGAAUAUUGCACAAUGGGCGCAAGCCUGAUGCAGCCAUGCCGCGUGUAUGAAGAAGGCCUUCGGGUUGUAAAGUACUUUCAGCGGGGAGGAAGGUGUUGYGGUUAAUAACCGCAGCAAUUGACGUUACCCGCAGAAGAA